rnacentral:misc_RNA from 1 species
UGUUAUCCCUUUAGCCUUCGAUUCCUACAUGAUAACAAUCCAUUGGUUUUAGAAACUAGAGUUGGUUUAUGAAGCCAUCCUCUAUUCCACAAUUUCAUCAUAAAAAGGGGACUCUCUAGUCUCUCCAAGCUAUCCAAGCCACCCAUGGGACUACUAAUUCAUUUGAAAAUCCAAGAAAUCACUCUAGAUGUUUUCUGCUUACGUAGAGAG